AGUGAACGCUGGCGGUAGGCCUAACACAUGCAAGUCGAACGGCAGCACAGUAAGAGCUUGCUCUUACGGGUGGCGAGUGGCGGACGGGUGAGGAAUACAUCGGAAUCUACUUUUUCGUGGGGGAUAACGUAGGGAAACUUACGCUAAUACCGCAUACGACCUACGGGUGAAAGCAGGGGAUCUUCGGACCUUGCGCGAUUGAAUGAGCCGAUGUCGGAUUAGCUAGUUGGCGGGGUAAAGGCCCACCAAGGCGACGAUCCGUAGCUGGUCUGAGAGGAUGAUCCGGCACACUGGGACUGAGACACGGUCCAGACUCCGACGGGAGGCAGCAAGUGGGAAUAUUGGACAAUGGGCGCAAGCCUGAUCCAGCCAUACCGCGUGGGUGAAGAAGGCCUUCGGGUUGUAAAGCCCUUUUGUUGGGAAAGAAAAGCAGCAGGUUAAUACCCCGCUGUUCUGACGGUACCCAAAGAAUAAGCACCGGCUAACUUCGUG
rnacentral:rRNA from 1 species